GAAUUCACUAGUGAUUCAGGCCUAACACAUGCAAGUAAAAAGAUUUACUUCGGUAAAGAGCGGCGGACGGGUGAGUAACGCGUGGGUAACCUGCCCUGUACACACGGAUAACAUACCGAAAGGUAUGCUAAUACGAGAUAAUAUGCUUUUGUCGCAUGGUAGAAGUAUCAAAGCUUUUGCGGUACAGGAUGGACCCGCGUCUGAUUAGCUAGUUGGUGAGGUAACGGCUCACCAAGGCGACGAUCAGUAGCCGACCUGAGAGGGUGAUCGGCCACAUUGGAACUGAGACACGGUCCAAACUCCUACGGGAGGCAGCAGUGGGGAAUAUUUAAGGAGGGGCGAAAGCCUGAUGCAGCAACG
rnacentral:rRNA from 1 species